GCCCGGGUGGCGGAACUGGCAUACGCGAUGGUCUCAAACACCAUUGCCCUUCGGGGCUUGCGGGUUCGAAUCCCGCCCCGGGCA
rnacentral:tRNA from 1 species